rnacentral:rRNA from 1 species
AGAAUCAACGCUGGCGGCGUGCCUAACACAUGCAAGUCGAACGAGAAAGUGGGCAAUCCAUGAGUAAAGUGGCGACCGGGCGAGUAACACGUGACUACCUACCCUUGAGUGGGGAUAACCGUCGGAAACCGAGGCUAAUACCGCAUAAUAUCGAAAGAUCAAAGGAGUAAUCCGCUUUUGGAGGGGUCGCGGCUGAUUAGCUAGUUGGUAGGGUAAUGGCCUACCAAGGCGAAGAUCGGUAU